rnacentral:rRNA from 1 species
AGUGAACGCUGGCGGUAGGCCUAACACAUGCAAGUCGAACGGCAGCACAGUAAGAGCUUGCUCUUACGGGUGGCGGGUAGCGGACGGGUGAGGAAUACAUCGGAAUCUACUUUUUCGUGGGGGAUAACGUAGGGAAACUUACGCUAAUACCGCAUACGACCUACGGGGGAAAGCAGGGGAUCUUCGGACCUUGCGCGAUUGAAUGAGCCGAUGUCGGAUUAGCUAGUUGGCGGGGUAAAGGCCCACCAAGGCGACGAUCCGUAGCUGGUCUGAGAGGAUGAUCAGCCACACUGGAACUGAGACACGGUCCAGACUCCUACGGGAGGCAGCAGUGGGGAAUAUUGGACAAUGGGCGCAAGCCUGAUCCAGCCAUACCGCGUGGGUGAAGAAGGCCUUCGGGUUGUAAAGCCCUUUUGUUGGGAAAGAAAAGCAGCAGGUUAAUACCCCGCUGUUCUGACGGUACCCAAAGAAUAAGCACCGGCUAACUUCGUG